rnacentral:lncRNA from 1 species
GCCAAGUCCACAUGGCAAGUGGGAUGUUUGCAGAAGUUCCUCCUGGGGAGUUAAAGUAAAACAUAUUUCCGAAUAAUUUACAUUCAGUGAAAUGCUCUUAUUUUAAAAAGUAUGCUUGGACAGUUUUGGCAAAUGUGUAUCAAGACACAGAAUAUGUUGAUCAUCCUGAAAAG